rnacentral:rRNA from 1 species
CUAGACGCAUGUCUAGAGUUUAAAAGAUGGUUCUGCUAUCACUCUUGGAUGGACCUGCGGUGCAUUAGCUAGUUGGUAAGGUAACGGCUUACCAAGGCAAUGAUGCAUAGCCGAGUUGAGAGACUGAUCGGCCACAUUGGGACUGAGACACGGCCCAAACUCCUACGGGAGGCAGCAGUAGGGAAUCUUCCACAAUGGACGCAAGUCUGAUGGAGCAACGCCGCGUGAGUGAAGAAGGGUUUCGGCUCGUAAAGCUCUGUUGGUAGUGAAGAAAGAUAGAGGUAGUAACUGGCCUUUAUUUGACGUAAUACUAGAAAUCACGC